AUGCUCUCAAAGACGCUGGACAUUAUAGGUCAUGCUUUGCUUUACAACCUAACCAUCCACAAGCAUUGUCAAGCCUUGGCAGCAUAUACAUAGAUUGCAACAUGAUGAGUGUUCCUGCAUCAUUCUAUAAGGCAACUUUAGCAGUUACAACAGGGAUAUCUGCGCCCUUAAACAACUUGGCUAUUAUAUACAAGCAACAGUUCUUCGCAGACUGCUGCUGAUGGUCUUGUCAAUAGAGGGAACACAUUUAAGGAGAUUGGUAGAGUUACUGAAGCAAUUCAGGAUUAUAUACGUGCUGUGAAUAUCAGACCAACUAUGCCUGAAGCCCAUGCAAAUUUGGCUUCAGCUUACAAAGAUAGUUUACAAAUCUCAAGUACUCCAGAGUUGAAAUUGAUGAAGUGCGGUUCGAGUGGGCUGAA